UGCGCAGGCGGUUUUGUAAGACAGAUGUGAAAUCCCCGGGCUCAACCUGGGAACUGCGUUUGUGACUGCAAGACUCGAGUGCGGCAGAGGGGGGUGGAAUUCCACGUGUAGCAGUGAAAUGCGUAGAGAUGUGGAGGAACACCGAUGGCGAAGGCAGCCCCCUGGGUCGACACUGACGCUCAUGCACGAAAGCGUGGGUAGCAAACAGGAUUAGAUACCCUGGUAGUCCACGCCCUAAACGAUGCGAACUAGGUGUUGGGGAAGGAGACUUCCUUAGUACCGCAGCUAACGCGUGAAGUUCGCCGCCUGGGGAGUACGGUCGCAAGAUUAAA
rnacentral:rRNA from 1 species